UGCAUAUGCGUGUACCUUAGAGAUGAAGUCACAAUGAGCGCGUUAUGCGCAAAUCCACCGUGAUCUUUUAUAAAGGCUACUUUGAAUGAUUCCUUGGCUCACGUUGAUAGGUUAUUGUCAUUAUAAGCUACCAUUUGUAACCUUUAUGAACAGACUUUCCAACCUUGCCGUGACGUCACGCGCCAAAUCCCGUGCGCUGCCUGGAGCGCGUGGUCGUGAGCACAUGGAAGUGCGGUCGAGAUUUGUGUCUGGGAGACGCGACAGAUCAGGAAUAUUUAGGAAUAUAAAGCACCCUACAGAAGUAAGAAAAGACAUCGGACUGGCAGGCACAAAACCGGCAAGCCUCCACCUGAUGAAGAGCAGCAUUGGGGCAGUGUUGUGGUUCUUCAUGCCUCUUCCUCGGCUCUCCGUUGGUGCGAUGAGUCAGAGGCCAGACCGAUGGGUCCAUUUGAUUUAGCCGUCAGCUUACCUCAGAACAAACUGCUGGACUGACCUACAUAACUGUGUUUAUUUGUCAUGGCAUUGUUGGAGUGGUGCUCUUGAGAGACUGCCUGCCCACACGUUUAAUAAGUGGCUUUCUGGCGUCCAUUGUUGACCUGACAGGCGAGGAGGGGCCCGGAGAUGGAUAGACGGUUGUUUACCCUCGGCACUGACAGGCCUGUGUGAAGGCCCCUCGGUGAAUGUCAAGACAGCGAGGGGGUCCCGGGACGUCCUCUGCAGCCCUGGUCCUGUCCUCGCGCCGCCAUGUUUGUCACUCCAGUUAUCUGCAGGAAAGAAUGCACCGUGCCACUAAUGAGGGCCGUGCUAUGGCAGCUGCUGGUUCGUGUCACUGUCUCCUCAGCCCUGACCGGAGUGCACUGGAUGUGGUCAGCUGAGUGGAAUGCACUGUCACGAGUCGGAUCCCACGCACAAUCGCUACAAGAUCCUAAAGUCAUGAAUGAAUGAUUCGGGGGGAUGCCCAAAGUAGAAUUUUUCACAAAUCAAUAAGUAAUAAGAACAGGAUUGUCUCUAUUUAUGCCACCACUUCAUCAGAUGUGGUUAAUAGUCAAACUGUAUUCAUCUAAAAGGCAUUUGUUAUGACUGUGCACUUCCAGUUAACCAGGAAAACCAAACUGGAGUUACUCAUGCUUUACUGUGGAGGUAAUGGGGCACAACAAAGUGGAGUAGAUUCCUGUGGAGUGAUUUCAUGAGCUUUUACAGACCAAUAAACUCUUGCAAUUUAGUCUCUUGUUCAAUGUGAGACUUUUGUGAAUGAAAGUAGCAACAGGAAGUGAAAAUAUGAACUAAGUGGCUUUAGAAUAUGAGGAAAUAAAAAAAUGAACAAAUGUAAUACUGUAAAAGUAGUGUCAAUAAGCAAUAAAAGUUGUCAACGCUGCAGGAAGUAAUUAUUGGUCAAUGAGAACUACUUCUAAUAUAGCAUACAAUACUGAAACCAGAACACUACAUUUUAUUGCUCUUCUCACGUGAGCUUAUUGUUUGAGUAAAGUAUACAUAAAAUACAUGACAUACUUUAAAUGUAGAGUACAGUAAAUUGCUUCAUCUAUAUUGAGUAAACUAUACAUAAAAAGUAAGUACACAUGAAAUUAAGUUACUUCUACUACUUCUGUAAUGAUGUAAGUACUAAAAUAGGAGUAAAACUAUUUACUGAAGCUUAAUUUACCAUUCGGAAAGCACAAAAGGGAACUGAAUACAUACACCAAGUUUAACAUAGGUUUUACAUGUGCAUUUUUUCUGAAUGGGUAACGGCAGUGACAACGAGAAGUGAUAUUUCUACAGAAUUGUCAUGCUCAUUACUAACUUAUACUUCCAAAAAGUCAAAAACUUGCACAAUUAAUCUCAAAUACCCCUUGUGUGAUUCAUAUGUUUUUAUUCGCUCUUAUCUCGUCAUCUGUGUCCAUCCAGGAAGUGCACUGUCCCUCCUCUGCCCCUGUUACCUCAUAGUGCCCGCUCCGAGGCAGGUCCCCGCCCCCUCCCUGCUCUUUUGAUGUGGCCCAGUGUUUGUUCACCAGCGCCAGCGGUCUGACGGCCCAUUCACACACGGGACACUUGCUAAAUCCCAGAGCGCAGCUCGGCCAGCAGCCCCAUUGUGUAACCCUGACGCUGGAGGUGAGAAACAUGCACCCAUUAUAAAUAGAGAGAGGUAGGAGAGAGGGAGAGAGGAGGGACUUACCUGGGGUCAGAUUCAAAGGAUAUCUGAUAGCACAUAAAUAGGCCUGUCACAAUAAAUACUAUAUAUCGACUUACAGUUCAAUAUAUGAAAGAAGGGUCAAUAUUUAUUGUAUGUUCUUUUUCUUUACACUACUAGCUAUAUUAUAAGAUUUGAACUUUAGAAGAUUAUAGAAGAUAUACUCUUAAUAACAUCUAUGAUUCAUUACAAAUUCAAAUUAAAUAUUAAAAUGUAAAGUUAUUGCAGCUUGUUAUUGUAGAUUUUUAGUUUUUUGGGUUUUUUUGUGGUUUAAAUCUGCUCUUGAGUUUUUGCGUCAGAGACAUGAAUGAAUUGCAAUAUUAUUGUCUAUAUUUACUUCAACAAUACAUAGUACUUCAGAAUUUGUUAUUGUGACAGGCCUACACACAAACAUAUCCAGCUUGUAUGUGUGUCCUCAGAAGAAUGCAUGCACAUACUGUAUAUGUGUGUUUAUCUGUAUUUGUGGCAUUAAUCUGUGAUCUGUGUGUCUUGUCCACAAGUGAACACUGAUAGCAGUGAAGCUCAACAGUGAGCGCCCACCAAAAGGUUCUUGAGAUCUUGUAUGUGAGCGACUUCCCCUACAGCGGAGUGUGCAUGGCGAAAGUGCCCAGACAUGCUGCAGGUGAGUGGGUUGCAGUGCGUUCCCAGGCUUCCAGAGAGAAAAUAGUCCCUGAAAAAUAGUGGUGGGAGGUCUGACAGUGGCUGUAACUUGGCAGGGGUGAAGUAUGCCCUCUCCGGUACAGAACAGCAGGCUGCUACAUGCCCCCCCCCUCCUCUCCCUCAUGAGAAGGCUCUUUCCAGGAACUGGACUGCACAGUACUACACAACGUUUAUUUCAUUUCAGUGCAGUCAUGGUGUUUUGAAAUAAAAUGAGCACGUGUUAUGUUUGAAUACUGAAGCCGUACAUUAUUGGCCAGUGAAAUAUUGACUGCAGGAAGUAACUACCGGUACUAUGAAACCAUUGGGGUUAUGGUAGUGUGAAAGUAGUGCUGUCAUGCGAUUAAAAAAAUUGAGAGAUUAAUUAAUUAUGAUCUGUAAUUAAUUAAUCUAAUUAAUCUCAUUUUAAUCUCACCUAAAAAUUGCUGAGAAAAGCCUUCAAUUUGAGGUAUUUUCAUUUAAAUUCAUUAUUACAUUAUUGUGGCAGAUCAAAAGACUGAUAUAGAUUUUAAAAAAGUGACUUUAUAAAGUCAUUUAUUGUUUAACAAAUCUCUGCAAAUUGGCUGUUGAGCCCAAGUCUCCAUGAAUAAGAAACUGUUUGUUGUAAAGUAGCAAAGACGAGGAAAUCUGAACAUAAUAACUUUUGUCUACUUAAAGACAAUAAAAAGUCCAGUCUUUCCUUAACCAUAUUAAAAAUAUUAUUGAUAGAGAAAUGCUUUAUAUAUGAGAUCACUGGUUUUAGACCUGGUUUAGACCUGGUUUAGACCUACUUUAGUCCUAGUUUAGUCCUGGAAUGGAUUAAUCCUGGUGUUAGUCCUGGUGUUAGUCCU